rnacentral:misc_RNA from 1 species
AAUUGAAAUGGCACCAUUGUCAUAGAAAGACUGGUAACACAUUACAACAUUUGGACAUUGCGCCGAUUGAUUAAUUAUUAAUUCCUUGGCAAUUGCUUUCCUUGCAUUCUCCUCAAUAGUCAUCUGUAUAACCUUUAAUGCAAAAAACUGCCCUGUCCAUUUAUGCUGCACCAGCUGCACAAUUCCACUACUGCCCUUCCCAAUGACCUUAAUGGUGUCUAUGUCUGCCAAAUUCAA